UUUCAUUACUGAUAAGCAACAUCAUAAGCUCUCUCUUCCUCACGCAUCAGCAUCACCAUCAUCAAGCCAACCGCAUCAAUUUCAAUUCCAAGUCCACAUGCAAUCACUAUUUUAGGACCCUUAUGUUUUAGGCUUUCUAACAAGGUAAGAAUCACUCUAAUCCCCCUGCUCUCUUUCAAUUUUGUUUCCUUCUAUCAAGCCUAAAUCUGAAUUCCUUGCAUGUCUUUUAACCCACCAUGAAGGUUUUAAAGUAGAUUCGUCAAACCCGUAUUCUUAGACACAACCUCACUAAAAAGGUAAUUUUUCACUCCUCGUAACUCUGAUUGAGAUUCCGUUUGAUUCUGUGGUUAGCUAACUCGAUUCCGGUCAUUUCUGUUGAGAAUAAUAUGCC
rnacentral:lncRNA from 1 species